rnacentral:rRNA from 1 species
CCGGCGCACGGGUGCGUAACGCGUAUGCAAUCUACCUUUUACAGAGGGAUAGCCCAGAGAAAUUUGGAUUAAUACCUCAUAGUAUAGCGACAUCGCAUGAUGAUGCUAUUAAAGUCACAACGGUAAAAGAUGAGCAUGCGUCCCAUUAGCUAGUUGGUAAGGUAACGGCUUACCAAGGCUACGAUGGGUAGGGGUCCUGAGAGGGAGAUCCCCCACACUGGUACUGAGACACGGACCAGACUCCUACGGGAGGCAGCAGUGAGGAAUAUCGGACAAUGGGCGCAAGCCUGAUCCAGCCAUGCCGCGUGCAGGAUGACGGUCCUAUGGAUUGUAAACUGCUUUUAUACGAGAAGAAACACUACUUCGUGAAGUAGCUUGACGGUAUCGUAAGAAUAAGGAUCGGCUAACUCCGUGCCAGCAGCCGCGGUAAUACGGAGGAUCCAAGCGUUAUCCGGAAUCAUUGGGUUUAAAGGGUCCGUAGGCGGUUUAAUAAGUCAGUGGUGAAAGCCCAUCGCUCAACGGUGGAACGGCCAUUGAUACUGUUAGACUUGAAUUAUUAGGAAGUAACUAGAAUAUGUAGUGUAGCGGUGAAAUGC